GUGCUAGCAGCCGCGGUAAUACGUAGGGGGCGAGCGUUGUCCGGAUUUAUUGGGCGUAAAGCGCUCGUAGGCGGUUCAACAAGUCGGUAGUAAAAGUUCAGGGCUCAACCCGGAAAUGUCUCUCGAUACUGUUGUGAAUAGGAUACGGCAGAGGUGAGGGGAAUUCCGAGUGUAGCGGUGAAAUGCGUAGAGAUUCGGAGGAACACCAAUUGCGAAGGCAGAUCACUGGGCCGCUAUGGACGCUGAGGAGCGAAAGCUAGGGGAGCAAACAGGAUUAGAUA
rnacentral:rRNA from 1 species